UACAGGGGGUGCAAGCGUUGUUCGGAAUUAUUGGGCGUAAAGGGCGCGUAGGCGGCCUGGCAAGUGGAAGGUGAAAUCCCUCGGCUUAACCGAGGAACUGCCCUCCAAACUGCUUGGCUUGAGUCCGGGAGAGGUGAGUGGAAUUCCCAGUGUAGCGGUGAAAUGCGUAGAUAUUGGGAGGAACACCAGUGGCGAAGGCGGCUCACUGGACCGGAACUGACGCUGAGGCGCGAAAGCGUGGGGAGCAAACGGG
rnacentral:rRNA from 1 species